GGCGCGUGGCUUAGUGGUUAGGGUAUUCGGCUCACAAUCGUAGGGACAUGAGUUCAAUUCUCGGUGACGCCU
rfam:Octopus bimaculoides Scaffold30965_contig_30, whole genome shotgun sequence.